CCCAUGGGUUCCACAUGUUGAUGCAGUAGUGACACAUUGAUGACUUAAGCAAAUUACUAUGCUUGAUAUUUUGAAUAUGUUAUUAUUCCACUAUGCUUAUUAUUUUUAAUAUUUUAUUAGAAUAGUAUCCCAAGUUUUUCCUAUAAAUAGCCCUUCCAAAACUCAUCUUGAAAUCACAAAAAACCUCAUUUCCUUUCUCUUACUCUACCCAAAAAUAUUCUUAACAUCCUUCUAAAGUUCUAAACCUCGGAGAUCUAGGCGAAGUUCUGUCCAUAACGCUAGCCUUUUAGGAAGCUAACAAUUUCGAUUGUUUUAUCAAGACGCAAGGUAAGUAGAAUCCUCAUCUACAAUACAAGUCUUUUAUGUGUCUUAUGUGCAUUUAUAUGCUUUAUAUGUUAUCCUGCCAUGUUGUUAUGCAUAAGUUAUUUUCAAGAAUGUUAUAUUUAUUAUGCAUAAGCAUGCUUGAUGUUCACAGACAAGUUAUUGAAAGCGUUAAAGUAAAGGUGCUGCUUGGGAGACCUACGUCCCAAAUAAGUAAGGAGGGAGAUGUACGUCCCUAUAUAAUGAAUGUUUAUGAGGGAGAAAUUCCCUAUUAUCAUGUUUAUGUUCAGGUGGGAAUAUGAUUCCCUAUGUAAUGCCGGCAGCAGCAUCCUCUAGGGCCCAAAAGAAAGGAAAGUGAAAGAAAGAGAAUACAUAGCAUGUUGCACGUUUAUUUUAAUGCAUAUGAGGUAGUUAUUCUGCUUACUGAGCCUUAGCUCAUCAGUUAAUGUUUUGUAUUGUAGGUAAGAGACCCCAAAUAUAAAUUGUUGAUGAGUAUACGUGGGGCCAACAUGACUGUACAUAUGGGGCUGACCUGAAGGGAGUGGAGUUCUGCUAUGCUAUUUUAUAAAUAAACAAGAAACUUGGUUUUAUUAUAUUUCAUUAAAAGUAUUUUGUGAACUUUAUCAUUUACUUAAAGCUUUAAAAAGUAUUUCAUGAACUUUGUAAUUUACAUAAAGCUUUUCAAUUUAUCAGUUGGAUACAUUUUCAUUUCUACGUUAAGGUGUAGUAACGCCACGAAAAUGAUUUAUAAAAGUAUUAAGAUUUGUAUGUGAGAUAAAUUUUUUAUCUAGUUGUGAGUAUUGUGUGGUUAAGGUUAUAAACAUUAUUUAUGUAUUGUUUAAUAAAGUUUUUGUAAAUUCAGAAUUUCAGUAUUGUCAUAUUUAGGUUAAAAUUUGUUUUUACUCUAUAUAUAUGUAUGUUAAGAAAGGAGGUCGUUACAGAAGCAGUCCUCCCCGUGGAAGUUAAGGUUCUGUCACAUAGAGUCCAGUCUUCCGACCAGGAUCGGAACCAUGAGCUCCUAUGCCAUUCCCUCGAUCUGGUUGACGAAAGGCGGGAGGAUUCGCAACUCCAGCUCGCCCAUUAUCAGCAGAAGAUCACUCGCUACUUCAUCUCUAAAGUCAGAAAACGCGCCUUUAGCGUUGGCGACUUGGUCCUAAGGAGAGUUUUCCUGGCCGGGAAAGAUCCCAAAGAUGGAGUUUUGGGCCUAAACUGGGAAGGACCAUACCAGGUCAUCGAAGUCAUCAAGGAGGGAACUUAUAAGCUAGCUCGACUUGAUGGAGGGGCGGUCCCGCGAACUUGGAACGCCGUCCACUUAAAGAGAUAUUAUCAAUGAUCCACUUGUAAGGCUUGAAAGGCCACUUUUUAUGUAUCAAUAAAAAUUAGCUUUUACGCAUUUUUGCAAGUGUAAUCUUAAAGUAACCACGAAAGACCCUUUCCCAGUUACUUGGGGGGCAUAUGGUACCUGGAUAUAACCAGGUCUCCUUAACGACUUAUAUGUUGAUCCCUAUCUAUGGAUCGUUGCUCUUCUGAAAGAGCUCGAGAUAUGGAUAAGGAUUAGCACUAACUAAGUCAUAUCCUGGUUUUAACCGGGUCAUAAAACUUAGAAGUUAAUUUAAAUCUA